UACGUAGGGUGCAGGCGUUAAUCGGAAUUACUGGGCGUAAAGCGCACGUAGGCGGAUUGUUAAGUCGGGGGUGAAAUCCUGGAGCUCAACUCCAGAACUGCCUUCGAUACUGGCGAUCUCGAGUUCGGGAGAGGUGAGUGGAACUGCGAGUGUAGAGGUGAAAUUCGUAGAUAUUCGCAAGAACACCAGUGGCGAAGGCGGCUCACUGGCCCGAUACUGACGCUGAGGUGCGAAAGCGUGGGGAGCAAACAGG
rnacentral:rRNA from 1 species